ensembl:lncRNA
ACACACUCACACACACACACAAACACACACACUCACACACACACACACACACACACACACACACACACACACACACACACACACACACACGUGUCCCUGGCCUCAUAUGUACCCCCCCACCUCGUCUCCCAGGGCAACAAGCACAAGCAUAUCUCUGACUGUCUCCGGGAUGCCCAGAGCAAGAGGCGUGUCCAGAGGGCGGAGUUAGACCUCGUCAACCAGAUGAGGGACAGUCGCAUCGCAGACAUCAACUCUCUGCAGCUGCAGUUUGAGGACGUUCAGCGGCAGCUCAGCAGUCUGACUCCCGAGAGGAAGAGGCUGACAGGAAAACUGAGAGCACUCAAGCAGGCGGACACGAACCGUGCCACGGCCAGCGACGUGAAGACCAGCAUACGCGAGAGAGACGU